AACAGUAGAGGUGCAGAUGACAAGAGUAAAACAAGUUAGUUCAGCAGACAGUGAGCUUGUUUGAAAGGGGAUUUUGCCGAAGUGGGAAUACAUGCUUAAAUAUUUCUGCUGGUAAUAUAAAUAAAAUUUGUAUUACUGUCAUUGAAAUUUCAAUGGAGUGCUAUCUGU
rnacentral:ncRNA from 1 species